GCAGGUAUGGCGGAACUGGUAUACGCACUGGAUUCAGAAUCCAGCGCCUUAGUGCUUGAGGGUUCGACUCCCUCUGCCUGUA
rnacentral:tRNA from 1 species